rnacentral:lncRNA from 10 species
AUGGCCAAUUCCAUGAACCAUACCACACACAACCAGUCCCCCAAAUGGCAAAAAAAAAAAAAAAGGUAUAAAUAAACCCUGAUCACAAACAUGUGAAUCUCUUAAGGGGGUGGACGGACCUCAAGUUCCUGAGGAACAUGUGCUUCAAAGCACAACAAGAAGGGUCUGAAGAAGAUGCAGGCCAGCAAUGCUCAUGAGUACCAGAGCCAAGGCUAUUGAGGUCCUUGUAAAACCCAAGGAGGUUAAGCCUAAGAUCGUAAAGGGUGUCAGCUGCAAGCCCCAUCAACUUGCCUGCAGUGCCCACCCCAGGCUUGGAAAGUGUGCUCAUGCCCACAUUGCCAGGUGUCUCAGGCUCUGCUGACCAAAGGCCAAGGCUCCAAACAAGGCUCAGACCACGGCUUCAGCUCCAGCCUCAGUUCUGGCUCCAGCUCAGGCUCCCAAAGGUGCUCAGGCAGCCGUGAAGGCUCCCGAGUA